GAUGAACGCUAGCGGCAGGCUUAACACAUGCAAGUCGAGGGGUAUAGUUCUUCGGAAUUAGAGACCGGCGCACGGGUGCGUAACGCGUAUGCAAUCUACCUUUCACAGAGGGAUAGCCCCAGAGAAAUUUGGAUUAAUACCUCAUAGUAUAGCAGUUUCGCAUGAAACCACUAUUAAAGUCACAACGGUGAAAGAUGAGCAUGCGUCCCAUUAGCUAGUUGGUAAGGUAACGGCUUACCAAGGCAACGAUGGGUAGGGGUCCUGAGAGGGAGAUCCCCCACACUGGUACUGAGACACGGACCAGACUCCUACGGGAGGCAGCAGUGAGGAAUAUUGGACAAUGGGCGCAAGCCUGAUCCAGCCAUGCCGCGUGCAGGAUGACGGUCCUAUGGAUUGUAAACUGCUUUUUANACAGGAAGAAACACUCCGACGUGUCGGAGCUUGACGGUACUGUAAGAAUAAGGAUCGG
rnacentral:rRNA from 1 species